AUCAACCGAGAUUCCCCCAGUAGCGGCGAGCGAACGGGGAGCAGCCCAGAGCCUGAAUCAGUGUGUGUGUUAGUGGAAGCGUCUGGAAAGGCGCGCGAUACAGGGUGACAGCCCCGUACACAAAAAUGCACAUGCUGUGAGCUCGAUGAGUAGGGCGGGACACGUGGUAUCCUGUCUGAAUAUGGGGGGACCAUCCUCCAAGGCUAAAUACUCCUGACUGACCGAUAGUGAACCAGUACCGUGAGGGAAAGGCGAAAAGAACCCCGGCGAGGGGAGUGAAAAAGAACCUGAAACCGUGUACGUACAAGCAGUGGGAGCACGCUUAGGCGUGUGACUGCGUACCUUUUGUAUAAUGGGUCAGCGACUUAUAUUCUGUAGCAAGGUUAACCGAAUAGGGGAGCCGAAGGGAAACCGAGUCUUAACUGGGCGUUAAGUUGCAGGGUAUAGACCCGAAACCCGGUGAUCUAGCCAUGGGCAGGUUGAAGGUUGGGUAACACUAACUGGAGGACCGAACCGACUAAUGUUGAAAAAUUAGCGGAUGACUUGUGGCUGGGGGUGAAAGGCCAAUCAAACCGGGAGAUAGCUGGUUCUCCCCGAAAGCUAUUUAGGUAGCGCCUCGUGAAUUCAUCUCCGGGGGUAGAGCACUGUUUCGGCAAGGGGGUCAUCCCGACUUACCAACCCGAUGCAAACUGCGAAUACCGGAGAAUGUUAUCACGGGAGACACACGGCGGGUGCUAACGUCCGUCGUGAAGAGGGAAACAACCCAGACCGCCAGCUAAGGUCCCAAAGUCAUGGUUAAGUGGGAAACGAUGUGGGAAGGCCCAGACAGCCAGGAUGUUGGCUUAGAAGCAGCCAUCAUUUAAAGAAAGCGUAAUAGCUCACUGGUCGAGUCGGCCUGCGCGGAAGAUGUAACGGGGCUAAACCAUGCACCGAAGCUGCGGCAGCGACGCUGAUGCGUUGUUGGGUAGGGGAGCGUUCUGUAAGCCUGCGAA
rnacentral:rRNA from 1 species